rnacentral:lncRNA from 1 species
AACAUUCGCAUGAUUUUGUUCAUCCCUUUACUUGGUUCAACAAUUAGCCUCUUUGUGGCCCAAUUUCUCAUACUAAUAGCAUUUAAUAUGACUUUGAUUUUGCUUGAACUAUAUUUGUUCGCCUUGUCCUCCUCAUCAUUGAUUUCCACUAUAACCUUUAUUUUGAUAAUCACCAUGAAAACUACAUCUAUUUAAGGCUUUAUAAUAUGAUUUAUUACUAAAGGACUCUCCUUUCACUUGAAAUGUAUUUUCUUCAUUUCUUGGUAAUGAUCUGUUUAACCUAUCCUCACGAGCUUGCAAAGAACUCAUUAAAUCAUCGAAGGAAUAAGCAGAUAAAACUU